ensembl:lncRNA
CUCUGAUGUGCUGGUUGUGGACAGAUCAAUCGACUGCAUUUAUAUCAACAACGAUGACGCUAUCCAACAGCCGCGGUGCCCCCCAGUCUCAGUAAUGUCCAUGGAGCAGAAAAACAAACUGUUUGAUGUGGAUUCUGUUUCUCUGUGGUAGUUCACUUCCUAAUUGACCCAGAUCAGAUGAAGCCAAUUCAACUACCGCGACCUCUAGGGUCAGUAGUUCAUGACCUCUAGGGUCUAGGUGUUCCUUUUCUGCCUGGUUCAGUAGUUCAUGACCUCUAGGGUCUAGGUGUUCCUUUUCUGCCUGGUUCAGUAGUUCAUGACCUCUAGGGUCUAGGUGUUCCUUUUCUGCCUGGUUCAGUAGUUCAUGACCUCUAGGGUCUAGGUGUUCCCUUUCUGCCUGGUUCAGUAGUUCAUGACCUCUAGGGUCUAGGUGUUCCCUUUCUGCCUGGUUCAGUAGUUCAUGACCUCUAGGGUCUAGGUGUUCCCUUUCUGCCUGGUUCAGUAGUUCAUGACCUCUAGGGUCCAGGUGUUCCCUUUCUGCCUGGUUCAGUAGUUCAUGACCUCUAGGGUCAGUAGUUCAUGACCUCUAGGGUCUAGGUAUUGAAAAGCCCUGAUCCAAAUGGUGAACAGUCCUCUAGAUAUCUUGAAGCCCUAAACUAUUGAUAGAUCCCUGGACUAUUAUUUCUGACUAAUAUUAAUGAUCUGCUCAACGGAUCUAAACUAAACCAACGCAGUACCCAGGUCUGUGUUAGACCCAGGUCUGUUAGGCUGCAGUACCUAUCCCCCCUAGUUAGACCCAGGUCUGUUAGGCUGCAGUACCUAUCCCCCUAGUUAGACCCAGGUCUGUUAGGCUGCAG